rnacentral:rRNA from 1 species
UACGGAGGGGCAAGCGUUGUUCGGAAUUACUGGGCGUAAAGGGCGCGUAGGCGGCCUACUAAGUCAGACGUGAAAUCCCCCGGCUUAACCUGGGAACUGCGUCUGAUACUGGAAGGCUUGAGGAUGGGAGAGGGAUGUAGAAUUCCAGGUGUAGCGGUAGAAUGCGUAGAUAUCUGGAGGAAUACCGGUGGCGAAGGCGGCAGUCCUGGACCAUUACUGACGCUGAGGCGCGAAAGCUAGGGAG